GUGCAGCUGUCUGAAAGAGCUAAAUACAUACUUUAUGAUGAGAAAGGAACAGCCAGAGCCACCAUGGAAAGGUUUUAUUGCAGUGCACCUGCAGUGUUGGUACUUCUUCAUAGUUCUGCUCUGCCACCAAGCUUGCAUUUUCAUGGCUG
rnacentral:lncRNA from 12 species